GCGCCGGAAGCAUUGCGAGCGAUGUGUCAGGUUUCCAACCUGAAGAGGGCGGUGCAACUCCGACCCCGGCGCUCCA
rnacentral:tRNA from 1 species